rnacentral:rRNA from 1 species
CACCGCGGUUAAACGAGAGGCCCAAGUUGACAACCAUCGGCGUAAAGAGUGGUUAAGAUCCUCCAGUCAUUAAAGUCGAAUGUCUUCAUGGCUGUCAUACGCACCCGAAGAUAAGAAGCCCAACCACGAAAGUGACUUUAUUUUGUCUGACCCCACGAAAGCUAGGGCA